UUCUUCCUCCUUCUUCCAGGUGUGUUCUCUCAGGUGGUGCUGACACAGUCAGAUCCGGUGUUGAAAAAACCUGGAGAAUCCCAUAAGAUGACCUGUGCCACCAGUGGAUUCACUCUUAGCAGCACUACAAUGCAGUGGGUCAGGCAAAAACCAGGCAAAGGAUUGGAAUGGCUUGUUGAGUAUUAUAGUGCUGGGAGCAACUACUACUCCCCUUCAAUCCAGGGGCGAUUCACAGCCUCUAAGGACAGCACCAACCUCUACCUGCAAAUGAACAACCUCAAAGGAGAAGACAGUGCAGUCUAUUACUGUGCAAGGCACACAUUUACAAUUAAAAAUAAAAGAAAAAACAUGGAAUUCGUGGUGGGGGAGGGGGGAUUGGGUGAGGGGGAGAGGAUCGGUAUAUUCCAUUGGAUCUUCGGUUCAAUGAGUCUAGUCUCUUUGUGGAGCAAGUUGCUGGAUGUAGAGGAGUAGUUGUUUUAUUUUAUUAGGGGGCAGAUUGUGCCCCCCUUUUAUGUUGCCUGGGUUGGCUAUUUCUUAUUUCAGUUAUGGAGUUCCUUCAAUCUGUGUCUGUCCUUUUCUUAUAUAUUCCUGUUUCUUUGAUUGGUUUUCCAUUAUGCUUCUUCAUCAGGAAAGUCAGUCUGUCCAUGUUCUUUAUUUCCCAUAUCUUUGAUUACCAUUUUUUAAAUGUUCCCUAACUGGCUGCUCUCCUCAUCGCCACCAUCCUGAUUUACCUUGAUUCAGACCGCUC